AUUGAACGCUGGCGGCAUGCCUUACACAUGCAAGUCGAACGGUAACAGGUCUUCGGAUGCUGACGAGUGGCGAACGGGUGAGUAAUACAUCGGAACGUGCCCGAUCGUGGGGGAUAACGAGGCGAAAGCUUUGCUAAUACCGCAUACGAUCUACGGAUGAAAGCGGGGGAUCUUCGGACCUCGCGCGGACGGAGCGGCCGAUGGCAGAUUAGGUAGUUGGCGGGAUAAAAGCUUACCAAGCCGACGAUCUGUAGCUGGUCUGAGAGGAUGAUCAGCCACACUGGGACUGAGACACGGCCCAGACUCCUACGGGAGGCAGCAGUGGGGAAUUUUGGACAAUGGGCGAAAGCCUGAUCCAGCCAUGCCGCGUGCAGGAUGAAGGCCUUUGGGUUGUAAACUGCUUUUGUACGGAACGAAAAGCCUCUUUCUAAUAAAGAGGGGUCAUGACGGUACCGUAAGAAUAAGCACCGGCUAACUACGUG
rnacentral:rRNA from 1 species